CAGCNUCCUGGGAUAACACUGACGUUCAUGCCCGAAAGCGUGGGUAGCAAACAGGAUUAGAUACCCUGGUAGUCCACGCCCUAAACGAUGUCGAUUAGCUGUUGGGCAGCAUGACUGCUUAGUAGCGAAGCUAACGCGUGAAAUCGACCGCCUGGGGAGUACGGUCGCAAGAUUAAAACUCAAAGGAAUUGACGGGGACCCGCACAAGCGGUGGAUGAUGUGGAUUAAUUCGAUGCAACGCGAAGAACCUUACCUGGUCUUGACAUGUACGGAAUCCUCCAGAGACGGAGGAGUGCCUUCGGGAGCCGUAACACAGGUGCUGCAUGGCUGUCGUCAGCUCGUGUCGUGAGAUGUUGGGUUAAGUCCCGCAACGAGCGCAACCCUUGUCAUUAGUUGCCAUCAUUAAGUUGGGCACUCUAAUGAGACUGCCGGUGACAAGCCGGAGGAAGGUGGGGAUGACGUCAAGUCCUCAUGGCCCUUAUGACCAGGGCUUCACACGUCAUACAAUGGUCGGUACAGAGGGUAGCCAAGCCGCGAGGCGGAGCCAAUCUCACAAAACCGAUCGUAGUCCGGAUUGCACUCUGCAACUCGAGUGCAUGAAGUCGGAAUCGCUAGUAAUCGCAGGUCAGCAUACUGCGGUGAAUACGUUCCCGGGUCUUGUACACACCGCC
rnacentral:rRNA from 1 species